UGCAUUUGAGUGACUGGAAGGGGUGGAUCCUGGCUCCAUCCCUUCCCAGCCCUCAUUUAAGGGCUGGCAGGGGGAGGUAAGUGUGGCUUGUUAGAGAUCCCUGCUUACCUGGGGCCUUUUAAAGGCUGGGAGCUCUUCGUGCUGCUUCCUGCAAAGCCCUGGUAGGAUGCAGUAACACAAGGCUGCGCUUCAGAGCUGCGCUAUGAAGAAGGAUCCUACCUACACACCAAUGAGGCUGUCCAAGAACUUGACAGGACUCUGUUUGAAAAAGAUGUUGAAAGAAAUGAUCUCUUUAAGUGCAAUGGGAGAUAUUUGUCUCUGAUUUACCCUUGGCUUUUUGCUCUGGUUCAGGUAGGAGCGGUGUGGGAUGGCUGGCAGAUCUGAGAGCAUGGCACGCCCCAGCGGGCAAAGCGAGCAGUGCGGAGGAAGGCGCGAGUCAGUUUGGAGUGCUCCCCAUUUAUCAAACUCACGCAGCCCGCCAGCAGAGCGAGUCUUUCUAUCAUUACAGCUCUCAAAAUCCGAUUCAUACCACUAAUCCUGCCUUCAUUCUCCCAGAUUAAUAACAUCUCUUUCAACCUUCACAGUGUGAUAAAUAGACAAAGAGAGAACAAAAGGAGAAACAGAAGUGAGAGAAAGAGCCAGAGCAACUCCACAUAAUAAAGAGAACCAAGAAAGGGGAGAGAAAAAAAAAAAAAAAAAAGGAAAAAGAAA